CCUGUGCUAAGGUAGCAUAAUAAUUUACUUUUUAAUUGAAAGACAGAAUGAAAGGAAAGACGACUCAAUUAUUUUUCCAUAACUUUAUAAUAAAAUUUUCUAAGAUGUAAAAAGACAUUUAUAAAAAAGAAAGACGACAAGACCCUAUAGAAUUUUCACUUAUUAAGUUUAGCUGGGGCAGCUAAUAACUAUAAUUUAUUAAUUCCAAAAUAAUAAAGACCUAAAAUUUUUAAAAAAUAAAUCAAAUUACCUUAGGGAUAACAGCGCAAUUCUAUUCUAAAGCACUAAUAAAAUAUAGAAAUUACGACCUCGAUGUUGAAUUAAUUUAACUUUAUUAAGUAAUAAUAAUAAGAGUAAGUCUGUUCGACUUUUAAAAGAUUACAUGAUUUGAGUUCAGACCGGUGAAAACCAGGUCAGAUUCUAUCUUCUUUAACUUAACUACAGUACGAAAGGACCUAAUUAUAAAUCACAU
rnacentral:rRNA from 1 species